rnacentral:rRNA from 1 species
UGGCAGACGGGUGAGUAAGGCGUGGAAACAUACCCUUUUCUUGCGGAAUAGNUCCGGGAAACUGGAAUUAAUACCGCAUACGCCCUACGGGGGAAAGAUUUAUCGGGGAAGGAUUGGCCCGCGUUGGAUUAGCUAGUUGGUGGGGUAAAGGCCUACCAAGGCGACGAUCCAUAGCUGGUCUGAGAGGAUGAUCAGCCACAUUGGGACUGAGACACGGCCCAAACUCCUACGGGAGGCAGCAGUGGGGAAUAUUGGACAAUGGGCGCAAGCCUGAUCCAGCCAUGCCGCGUGAGUGAUGAAGGCCUUAGGGUUGUAAAGCUCUUUCACCGGAGAAGAUAAUGACGGUAUC